rnacentral:tRNA from 1 species
GCCUCCGUAGCUGAGAUGGCGUUAGCACCCGGCUCUUAACCGGGGGACGCCCGUUCGAGUCGGGCCGGGGGUA